AAAUCCGCUUGAACGAUGGGGGGACGCAGGAGGAUAGGGAAAGCGCGCUGCUGGUUAUGCGCGUCCAAGCCGUGAGGAAGUUGAGCAGGCAAAUCCACUCAACAUUAUUCCAGGCGGUUAUGGGGAGGGAAAUUUAGUACCGAAGUUCCUGAUUUCACACUGCCAAGAAAAGCCUCUAGUGAGGAAAUAGGUGCCCGUACCGCAAACCGACACAGGUAGGCACGGUGAGUAACCGAAGAUGAUCGGGAGAACUCUCGUUAAGGAACUCGGCAAAAUGACCCCGUAACUUCGGGAGAAGGGGUGCUUCUUUUAAGGAGAAGCCGCAGUGAAAAGGCCCAAGCGACUGUUUAGCAAAAACACAGGUCUCUGCAAA
rnacentral:rRNA from 1 species